AUUGAACGCUGGCGGCAGGCCUAACACAUGCAAGUCGAACGAGUGGCGGACGGGUGAGUAAUGUCUGGGAAACUGCCUGAUGGGGGGGGAUAACUACUGGAAACGGUAGCUAAUACCGCAUACCCUCGGAUGUGCCCAGCUGGGAUUAGCUAGUAGGUGGGUUAAAGGCUCACCGGGGCGCAGACCCCUAGCUGGUCUGAGGGGAUGACCAGCCACACUGGGACUGAGACACGGCCCAGACUCCUACGGGAGGAAGCAGUGGGGAAUAUUGCACAAUGGGGGCAAGCCUGAUGCAGCCAUGCCGCGUGUAUGAAGAAGGCCUUCGGGUUGUAAAGUACUUUCAGCGGGGAGGCGUUACCCGCAGAAGAAGCACCGGCUAACUCCGUGCCAGCCGCCGCGGUAAUUC
rnacentral:rRNA from 1 species